rnacentral:rRNA from 1 species
CACGUAGGGACCAAGCGUUGUCCGGAUUCAUUGGGCGUAAAGAGCUCGUAGGCGGUUCGAUAAGUCGGGUGUGAAACCUCCAGGCUCAACCUGGAGACGCCACCCGAUACUGUCGUGACUAGAGUCCAGUAGGGGAGAGUGGAAUUCCUGGUGUAGCGGUGAAAUGCGCAGAUAUCAGGAGGAACACCAGCGGCGAAGGCGGCGCUCUGGGCUGGAACUGACGCUGAGGAGCGAAAGCGUGGGGAGCGAACAGG